rnacentral:snRNA from 1 species
GAAUGUGAGACAACUCGGCUACAGUACCUACCACCCAAAUGAUCACCAGGGUGGAGUUGGAUGAUCUAUCUGGCUAGAAAGAUGUCCCCUUCCUCCCUCGGUGAUUCAGACACACUUCACCAAAAACUGCAUGUUUUGUAGUAGAAGAUGACCUUCCUGGGAAAAGGAAAAGUGUUCUGGGGUCAAGAGUUACCGAGCAGCUGUCCUCUGCCAGAAUCUCCAGACAAGCUCAGACAAAGCAAUGAUAAAAAUGUUAGAAGUGAACUAGGAAAAGAACCCAAGCAAAGCUAGGAAGGAGGCUCUCAGGUGCUCAUGAAGGUAUUUGACUAUUUCUUGA